rnacentral:rRNA from 1 species
GGGCCCGCACAAGCGGUGGAGUAUGUGGUUUAAUUCGAUGCAACGCGAAGAACCUUACCAGGGCUUGACAUCCUGCGAAUCUCUGGGAAACCGGAGAGUGCCUUCGGGAACGCAGUGACAGGUGGUGCAUGGCUGUCGUCAGCUCGUGUCGUGAGAUGUUGGGUUAAGUCCCGCAACGAGCGCAACCCACGUCUUUAGUUGCCAGCAUUUAGUUGGGCACUCUAGAGAGACCGCCGGUGAUAAACCGGAGGAAGGUGUGGAUGACGUCAAGUCAUCAUGCCCCUUACAUCCUGGGCUACACACGUACUACAAUGCUACGGACAAAGAGCAGCAAGUUCGCGAGGACAAGCAAAUCUCAUAAACCGUGGCUCAGUUCAGAUCGUAGGCUGCAACUCGCCUACGUGAAGGAGGAAUCGCUAGUAAUCG